rnacentral:rRNA from 1 species
UACAGAGGUCCCAAGCGUUGUUCGGAUUCACUGGGCGUAAAGGGUGCGUAGGUGGUUGGGCAAGUCUGAUGUGAAAUCUCCGGGCUUAACCCGGAAAUGGCAUUGGAAACUGCCCGGCUAGAGUGUUGGAGGGGGGACUGGAAUUCUCGGUGUAGCAGUGAAAUGCGUAGAUAUCGAGAGGAACACCAGUGGCGAAGGCGGCUUCUGGGACGGUACUGACGCUGAGACGCGAAAGCGUGGGGAGCGAACAGG